rnacentral:tRNA from 1 species
GUCUCCGUAGCUCAGCUGGAUAGAGCAAUGCCCUUCUAAGGCAUCGGUCGCAGGUUCGAAUCCUGCCGGGGACGCUA